rnacentral:lncRNA from 1 species
GCCGCCGCCAGACUUCAAUGCCCAGUCCCCAGUUCACCAGCGUUUUUCAUUGGAAUAUACCUUGCACAUUUAUGACGAUUCUGAGCGUGAGGGCAGACUUCUGCCAGGCUCAGCACAGCGUUGUGCCAUAAUUAACAUUGCCUUUAAGACUCUGGACACCGAGGCUGACCUCAGAAAUACUUGACUUUUUUUUUUAAUAGCAAGCAUAUUUUUUAAUGACUCCAGCAAAUUAAGCAUUAAGUAAGCAAAAGUGGAAAAGGACCUACACUUUUAAUGUGUCUCACUUGUGCCUAAAUGUAGUAAAGGCUGCUUGUGUUUUGUAUGUAGUUGGAUUUUUUUGGACUCUGAAGGAAUCCAUCUGCAGACUUUGAGGCCCAAGUUAAAUUUGGAUUGGUGUGUAUUCUAAAUACUUCUGCUUAUCUUGAAGAGGAAAGCUUCAUAAAAAAUAAACAAGUUGAAUGGAGAAAAUAUUGAUUGAUAAUAGGCAUUUUAGUGGUCUUUUUAAAAUGUUUUCUGCUGUGGAACAUUUCAAGAUUUAUUUGUUUUUUCAAUUUUCCCCACCAUACUCACACACGCACACUCACACUUUGUAUUUGCCAUAAUGAACCGUCCAGCCCCUGUGGAGAUCUCCUAUGAGAACAUGCGUUUUCUGAUAACUCACAAUCCUACCAAUGCAACUCUCAACAUGUUCACAGAGGAACUUAAGAAGUAUGGAGUGACAACUUUGGUUUGAGUUUGGGAUGCUACAUAUGAUAAAUCUCCAGUAGAAAAAGAAGAAGUCUACAUUCUAGAUUGGCCAUUUGAUGAUGGAGCUCAACCCCCUAAUCAGAUAGUAGAUGAUUGGCUGAACCUGUUAAAAACCAAAUUCUGUGAAGAGCCAGGUUGCUGUGUUGCAGUGCCUUGUGUUGCAGGAUUGGGAAGGACACCUGUGCUGGUUGCACUUGCUUUGAUUGAAUAUGGAAUGAAGUGUGAAGAUGCAAUUCAGUUUAUAAGACAAAAAAGAAGGGGAGCAUUAAAUUCCAAACAGUUGCUUUACUUGGAGAAAUAUAGACCUAAAUUGUGAUUAUGCUUCAGAGAUACCAAUGGGCAUUGUAUUUCGUUCAGUAGAAAGAAAUACAAAGGAAGGCUUAUGUGAUUGUGCAUUUAGAGGGAACUCUUGGUACCUGGAAAUGUGAAUCUGUAAUUUUACCUGUGUCAUUGAAGUAGUGAUGGAUUCAGUACUCCUCAACCACUCUUCUUAACAAUUAGGAAAAAGUAAACAAAUAAGAAAUCCCUCUACAACAUGAAUAAAAUGUUUAAGAAAAGAAAAUGGAAAAAAUAAAAAUAAAAACAAAUUUAACCAAAAUGAUGUAAUUCACUUGUUUUG